UACGGAGGGUGCAAGCGUUAUCCGGAUUCACUGGGUUUAAAGCGUGCGUAGGCGGUUAUUUAAGUCUGUUGUGAAAUCCCCGGGCUCAACCUGGGAAUGGCAAUGGAUACUGGAUAGCUAGAGUGUGAUAGAGGAUGGUGGAAUUCCCGGUGUAGCGGUGAAAUGCGUAGAGAUCGGGAGGAACAUCAGUGGCGAAGGCGGCCAUCUGGAUCAACACUGACGCUGAGGCACGAAAGCGUGGGGAGCAAACAGG
rnacentral:rRNA from 1 species